CUUAAAUUAGAACAAUGGUGUUCUCUUGCCCUUGGCUAGAACUUAAACCAUCAGUGAUCUUGGUACUAGAGCCUUCAGACUUGUACUAAUACUUACAUCAUCAGGUCUCCAGGUUCUUGGGUGUUUGGACUCAGACUGGAAGUAUAUCACCAGCUUUCCUGGAUCUCUACCUUACAGAUGGCAGGCUGUAGGACUUCUCAGUCUUCAUAAUUGUCUCUUCACCCAGAGACACAACUCUCCAACUCCAAUCAAAAAAAUCUUUGGGCAGAAGAUUGAUUGAUCCAUCUUGGAUGACACUGUCAUCUGUGGAUGGAGGACUAUGGAUCAGACCCUUUAAUGGCUCAGCUGCAGUGCUCAACCUGUGGUUAGAAGGAGUUGACCUGUACAACUUUUAUGUCAUGGUUGUGAAGGAAUAUUUUCCAGGAGAAUGUAACUGCUCUGGGCAGACAAGGCAAUGUGUUCAGCAGUAUUUCAUAACUAACAUGAUGCUUUUCACAAAUUAGAUGCUAGAAAAUUACUUAUUCUACUAUUACACUACUAGAUUUCUUAACAGCUUUAUUAAAAUAUAAUUCACAUACAAUAGCAUUUACUUAAAGUGGUUUUUUUUAUAUUCACAGAGUUGUGCAACCAUAACCAUGAUCUAAUUUUAGAAUAUUAUCUGAAACUUGGUUUUAGCCUAGUGAGAAUUCUAAUGUAAAAAACUGUAAGAUAGUAAAUUGGUGUUGUUUUAAGCCACUGAAUUUGUGGUGAUUUAUUAUUGGUUUAUAACAAUAAGAAACCAAUAUGGAUUCACUCACCCUGAGAUUCUGUUUUCUCAUAUUUAAAUUGAGCAUAAUAAUGUAUAUCUCACAGGAUUUUAUGAAAUUAAAUACGAUAAUAUGCAUGGUAGAAACUUCUGAAGACUCAGUACUAAUAAAUUUAUCAUUUAAGUUUUUAAUUUUAAUGUAUUAUAG
rnacentral:lncRNA from 10 species